ensembl:piRNA 21ur-939 ncRNA
UAUUCAUCAAUUCCAGAUCAU